UACGUAGGGACCAAGCGUUGUUCGGAUUUACUGGUCGUAAAGGGCGCGUAGGCGGCCUGACAAGUCACUUGUGAAAUCUCUGGGCUUAACCCAGAACGGCCAAGUGAUACUGUCGCGCUAGAGUGCAGAAGGGGCAAUCGGAAUUCUCGGUGUAGCGGUGAAAUGCGUAGAUAUCGAGAGGAACACCAGAGGUGAAGACGGGUUGCUGGGCUGACACUGACGCUGAGGCGCGAAAGCCAGGGGAGCAAACGUG
rnacentral:rRNA from 1 species